AGAAUAAGAGUUACAUCUGUGGGUGGACAUCAGUAAAAACAAACUAGUUAAUAAUUAUGAGUCUUGUCAGGCAGCUAGAGGAGAAAGUCAAAGGAAGUGAUAGGCUGCACAUUCGAUGCUGUUCAUUUUGUUGAAGGGUUCAUUAUGAUCACUGAAGCAUGGACAUUCCUUUUACACGUAGUUGGGCUAUUGUUACAUUCACUUACGCCUUGCACCCCUCCUGAGAUCCUGUCCAUGGGCAACAUCGAUACCAAGCAGUAUCUAGGCAGUUGGUAUUUCAUUGCAGUGGCUGGAGAGAGGGACUCGGAUGUAAACAAAUUCAGAGCAGUAGACAGUACCAUCAUUGUCCUCCAGGAGGCCGCCAAUGCAAACACACUCCUGUUCAAUGGAUCCAUUCGAGUUGGAAAUCGCUGCAUAAAGGAAGUCUGGCCCUAUCACAUACGGCCCGGCAGAGAUGACUUGGAGCGAGAUGGCAUCCCAGAGAGACUCAGCCCGCUGUGGAGCGGCCGGCUGCUAAACUGCUCUGAGUGCAUUUUCCUGCAGGAGUCAGAGCAGCAACCCCCCUUGAACAGAGUCUUGUUUUACGGUCAGGCAAAGUCUCUCCUUAUGACUUCAACAACCACUGAAUCCUCAGUGAUUGUUCCCAUUGUCAAUACUAUUGUUUGUGAAUACUACAACAACAAUGAUGAUGAUGAUGAUGAUGAUGUGUGCCAAGGCUCCGGAGGUGCUGGCUGACCCUAAGGUCUCCUCACUAGUGCAUCACUUUGGACAAAAGCAUCUACUAAAUAAAUGAACGUAAAUGUGAAUUUCUUCAACAACGGUGUCUAACCAAACUGUGUGGCAGCAUCUGCCUCCGUUCCUCUGCCUCAUAUGUCCGUCUUCUGUGUCCAGCUCGCAGUGCUUCCGUCAGCACGGAAAUGAUCAAGGAAUUUCAAAUGAAGGUGUCCUGCCUUGGAAUGAGGAACGUUUUUGUCCUGCCACAAGAAAAAGAAUAUUGUCAACUUGACGAAAUGGCAUAAAUCAUAUUUUCCGAUCCUGGAACAUGAUGUUUCACAAAAAAGGAGCUAAAGGGAAGAUCUGUACUAAGGCAGUGUAUUUAAAACUCAAUGCUUUAAGUGUAAAACAAAUUGUUAAAAAAAUAAAUGAUCAAUAGUUUCGAA